rnacentral:rRNA from 1 species
CCUACGGGAGGCAGCAGUGGGGAAUAUUGGACAAUGGGCGAAAGCCUGAUCCAGCCAUGCCGCGUGUGUGAAGAAGGCCUUCGGGUUGUAAAGCACUUUCAGUGGGGAAGAAAGCCUUGGGGCUAAUACCCUCGAGGAAGGACAUCACCCACAGAAGAAGCACCGGCUAACUCCGUGCCAGCAGCCGCGGUAAUACGGAGGGUGCGAGCGUUAAUCGGAAUUACUGGGCGUAAAGCGCGCGUAGGCGGUCUGAUAAGCCGGUUGUGAAAGCCCCGGGCUCAACCUGGGAACGGCAUCCGGAACUGUCAGGCUAGAGUGCAGGAGAGGAAGGUAGAAUUCCCGGUGUAGCGGUGAAAUGCGUAGAGAUAGGGAGGAAUACCAGUGGCGAAGGCGGCCUUCUGGACUGACACUGACGCUGAGGUGCGAAAGCGUGGGUAGCAAACAGGAUUAGAUACCCGAGUAGUC